rnacentral:rRNA from 1 species
CGAACCUACGGGGCGCAGCAGUGAGGAAUAUUGGUCAAUGGACGCAAGUCUGAACCAGCCAUGCCGCGUGCAGGAAGACGGCUCUAUGAGUUGUAAACUGCUUUUGUACGAGGGUAAACGCAGAUACGCGUAUCUGUCUGAAAGUAUCGUACGAAUAAGGAUCGGCUAACUCCGUGCCAGCAGCCGCGGUAAUACGGAGGAUUCAAGCGUUAUCCGGAUUUAUUGGGUUUAAAGGGUGCGCAGGCGGAGGUGCAAGUCAGCGGUCAAAUUGCGGGGCUCAACCCCGUACUGCCGUUGAAACUGCA